GAGAGGAACAAUCCUACGAUGGUCAAUCAUAUUUUUAGCAGCUGAAUUCUUAGAUCUGUGAUGCAGAUAUCUCUCCUGAGGAUCCACAGGUGGGGCAGGGAGGACUUCAGGAUGCUCCUGGAGCGGCCUAGUGGAGCGUGGCAUUUUCUGUUAUUGUGUUUUUUUUGGAUUUUGGAAUUUGUUUUAGUAAUUAUGACUUAUGGAUUUGUUAUGAAGCUUUAUUUUGAUUAAGUUGUUAAUUGUGAACAUUUAUUUUUGGACUAUAAUGAAUAUUUAUUUAAUCUUGUUGUUUUGAGUA